rnacentral:rRNA from 1 species
GACGAACGCUGGCGGCGUGCUUAACACAUGCAAGUCACGGGGGCCGCAAGGGCAACCGGCGAACGGGUGCGUAACACGUGAACAACCUGCCCUCGUGUGGGGGAUAGCCAUGCUAACGCGUGGGUAAUACCGCAUACGGUCCUUUUGGGGGAGGUCCCUGGGGGAAGAAAGCUCCGGCGCACGGGGAGGGGUUCGCGGCCUAUCAGCUAGUUGGGGG